AAUGUGAGCAAGACAAGUUCUAGGCGAUGAAGAUGAUCUGACCAAGUUUUACUAUAGAUGAGUAUAACAUCCAAGAAGACAAGAACAAAUCGUCUUAAGAAGGGCCGGAAUAUGUUAUUCAUUUUAGCUUGGAAAGUGGCUGGGACAUUGGUAAGGCCGAAUGGCAUGACAACAAAUUCAUAAUGCCCCAAGUGAGUGCGAAAUGCAGUUUUUGGAAUAUCAAUAGCUAAGACACGAAUUUGAUGAUAUCCAGAGCAUAAAUCAAUUUUUGAAAAAUAUCUUGCACCAUAUAAUUCAUCAAAAAG
rnacentral:misc_RNA from 1 species